rnacentral:miRNA from 1 species
UGUCGGUCUGAUAUCGGUCUGC